CGGCUGCGAGGUCCGGAUGAGAAAAACUGUGCCCGAGGUCUUGAAAACGGCCCCAGCCCGAAGGGCGAGGGACGUUUUCAAGACCGAGGGCACAGUUUUUCUCAUCCGGACCGACGCUGCCG